AUUGAACGCUGGCGGCAUGCCUUACACAUGCAAGUCGAACGGCAGCAUGGAGAGCUUGCUCUCUGAUGGCGAGUGGCGAACGGGUGAGUAAAGCAUCGGAACGUACCGUGUAGUGGGGGAUAACGCAGCGAAAGUUACGCUAAUACCGCAUACGCUCUGAGGUGGAAAGCAGGGGAUCGCAAGACCUUGCGCUAUACGAGCGGCCGAUGUCAGAUUAGCUAGUUGGUAGGGUAAAGGCCUACCAAGGCGACGAUCUGUAGCGGGUCUGAGAGGAUGAUCCGCCACACUGGGACUGAGACACGGCCCAGACUCCUACGGGAGGCAGCAGUGGGGAAUUUUGGACAAUGGGGGCAACCCUGAUCCAGCCAUGCCGCGUGAGUGAAGAAGGCCUUCGGGUUGUAAAGCUCUUUCGGCCGGGAAGAAAUCGCACAGGCUAAUACUCUGUGUGGAUGACGGUACCGGCAUAAGAAGCACCGGCUAACUACGUGCCAGCCGCCGCAGUAA
rnacentral:rRNA from 1 species